rnacentral:rRNA from 1 species
AAUCUGGCGUGCUCAGUGCGUCCGAGUUGUAAUCUAUAGAGGCGUUUUCCGUGCCGGACUGUGUCUAAGUCCCUUGGAACAGGGUAUCAAAGAGGGUGAUAAUCCCGUACUUGACACAAUGACCGGUGCUCUGUGAUACGUCUUCUACGAGUCGAGUUGUUUGGGAAUGCAGCUCAAAAUGGGUGGUGAGUUCCAUCUAAAGCUAAAUAUUGGCGAGAGACCGAUAGCGAACAAGUACCGUGAGGGAAAGAUGAAAAGCACUUUGGAAAGAGAGUUAAACAGUACGUGAAAUUGUUGAAAGGGAAACGAUUGAAGUCAGUCGUGACUGAGAGGCUCAGCCGGUUCUGCCGGUGUAUUCCCCUCAGUCGGGUCAACAUCAGUUUUGUUCGGUGGAUAAGGGCAGCUGGAAGGUGGCACCUCCGGGUGUGUUAUAGCCAGCUGUCGCAUACAUCGAAUGAGACUGAGGAAUGCAGCUCGCCUUUAUGGCCGGGGUUCGCCCACGUCCGAGCUUAGGAUGUUGACAUAAUGGCUUUAAACGACC